GAUGAACGCUGGCGGCGUGCCUAACACAUGCAAGUCGAGCGAUUCUCCUCGGAGAAGAGCGGCGGACGGGUGAGUAACGCGUGGGUAACCUGCCCUGUACACACGGAUAACAUACCGAAAGGUAUGCUAAUACGAGAUAAUAUGCUUUUAUCGCAUGGUAGAAGUAUCAAAGCUCCGGCGGUACAGGAUGGACCCGCGUCUGAUUAGCUAGUUGGUAAGGUAACGGCUUACCAAGGCGACGAUCAGUAGCCGACCUGAGAGGGUGAUCGGCCACAUUGGAACUGAGACACGGUCCAAACUCCUACGGGAGGCAGCAGUGGGGAAUAUUGCACAAUGGGCGAAAGCCUGAUGCAGCAACGCCGCGUGAGCGAUGAAGGCCUUCGGUCGUAAGCUCUGUCCUCAAGGAAGAUAAUGACGGUACUUGAGGAGGAAGCCCCGGCUAACUACGUG
rnacentral:rRNA from 1 species